rnacentral:lncRNA from 10 species
GUUUAAUUGGACUUACAGUUCCACGUGGCUGGGGAAGCCUCACAUCAUGGCAGAUGGCAAGGAGGAGCAAGUCACAUCUUACAGGGAUGGCAGCAGGCAAAGAGAGAGAGCUUGAGCAGGGAAACUCCUCUUUUUAAAACCAUCAGAUCUCAUGAGACUUAUUCACUAUCACAAGAACAGUACAGAAAAGACUUGCCCCCAUCAUUCAAUGACCUCCCACCUGUCCCUCCCACAACACACAGAAAUUCAAGAUGAGAUUCGGAUGGGGACACAGCCAAACCAUAUCAUUCUGCCCCUGGCCCCUCCCAAAUCUCAUGAUCUCGCAUUUCAAAACCAAUCAUGCCUUUCUAACAGUCCCCCAAAGUCUUAACUCAUUUCAGCAUUAACUCAAAAGUCCACAGUCUAAAGUCUCAUCUGAGACAAGGCAAGUCCCUUCCACCUAUGAGCCUGUAAAAUCAAAAGCAGGUUAGUUACUUCCUGGAUACAAUGGGGGUAUAGGCAUUGGGUAAAUAUAGCCAUUCCAAAUGGGAGAAACUGGCCAAAACAAAGGGGCUACAGGCCCCAUGCAAGUCCAAAAUCCAGCAGGGCAGUCAAAUCUUAGAGCUCCAAAAUGUUCUCCUUUGACUCCAUGUCUCACAUCCAGGUCAUGCUGAUACAAGAGGUAGGUUCCCAUGGUCUUGAGCAGCUCUGCCCCUGUGGCUUUGCAGGGUACAGUCUCCCUCCUGGUUGCUUUCAUAGGCUGGCAUUGAGUGUCUGUGGCUUUUCCAGGCACACAGUGCAAGCUGUCAGUGGAUCUACCAUUCUGGGUCUGGAGGACAGUGCCCCAGUAGGGACUCUGUGUGGGGGAUCCGACCCCACAUUUCCCUUCUGCACUGCCCUAGCAGAGGUUCUCCAUGAGAGCCCCACCCUUGCAGCAAAUUUCUGCCUGGGCAUCCAGGCAUUUCCAUACAUCUUCUGAAAUCUAGGUGGAGGUUCCAAAACCUCAAUUCUUGACUUCUGUGCACCUGCAGGCUCAACACCACAUGGAAGCUCAACACCACAAGGCAUGGGGCUUGCACCAUCUAAAGCCAGGGCCCGAGCUCUACAUUGUCCCCUUUCAGCCACAGCUGGGGCAGCUGGGAUGCAGUGGACCAAACCCCAGGCUGCACAUAGCUUGGGGACCCUGGGCCCAGCCCAUGAAACCACUUUUUCCUCCUAGGCUUCUGGGCCUGUGAUGGGAGGGACUGCCGUGAAGGCCUCUGACAUGGCCUGGAGACAUUUUCCCCAUUGUCUUGGGGAUUAACAUUUGGCUCCUCCUUCCUUAUGCAAAUUUCUGCAGCUGGCUUGAAUUUCUAUUCAGAAAAUGCAAUUUUCUAUCGCAUUGCCAGGCUGCAAAUUUUUCAAACUUCUAUCCUCUGUUUUCCUUUUAAAACUGAAUGCUUUCAACAGCACCCAAGUCACCUCUUGAAUGCUUUGCUGCUUAGAAAUUUCUUCUGCCAGAUACCCUAAAUCAUCUCUCUCAAGUUCAAAGUUCCACACAUCUCUAGGGCAGGGGCAAAAUGCUGCCAGUCGCUUUGCUAAAACAUAACAAGAGUCACCUUUGCUCCAGUUCCCAGUAAGUUCCUCAGCUCCAUCGGAGACCACGUCAGCCUGGGUCUUAUUGUCCAUAUCAUUAUCAGCAUUUUUGGCAAAGCCAUUCAACAAGUCUCUAGAAAGUUCCAAGCUUUUCCACAUUUUCCUGUCUUUUUCUGAGCCCUCAAAACUGUUCCAACCUCUGCCUAUUACCCAGUUCCAAAGUCGUUUCCACAUUUUCAGAUAUCUUUUCAGAACAUCCCACUCCUGGUACCAAUUUACUGUAUUAGUCCGUUUUCAUGCUGCCGAUAAAGACAUACCCGAGACUGGGUAAUUUACAAAGAAAAGAAGUUUAAUUGAACUUACAAUUCCAUAUGGCUGGGGAAGCUUCACAGUCAUGAUGGAAGGCAAGAAGGAGCAAGUCACAUCUUACAUAAAUGGUAGCAGGCAAAAAGUGAGAUCUCAUGCAGGGGAGCUCCUCUUUUUAAAACCAUCAGAUCUCAGCUGGGCACAGUGGCUCACGCCUGUAAUCCCAGCACUUUGGGAAGCUGAGACAGGCAGAUUAUCUGAAGUCAGGACUUCAAGGCCAGCCUGGCCAACAUGGUGAAAUCCCCUCUCUACUAAAAAUACAAAAAUUAGCCAGGCAUGGUGGCAGGCAACUGUAAUCCCAACUACUUGGGAGGCUGAGACAGGAGAAUCACUUGAACCCGGGAGGCAGAGGCUGCAGUGAGCUGAGAUUGUACCACUUCACACCAGCCUGGGUGACAGAGUGAGACUCUGUCUUGGAAAAAAAAAAAAAAAAAAAAAAAAAAAAAAUCAGAUCUUGUGAGACUUAUUUACUAUCAUAAGAACAGCACAGGAAAGAAUUGAUUGCCCCCAUCAUUCAUGGACCUUCCACCAGGUCCCUCCCACAACACAUAGGAAUUCAAGAUGAGAUUUGGGUGGGGACACAGCUAAACCAUAUCAGAGGUUGCAGUGAGCUGAGAUCGCACCACUGCACACCAGUCUGCACGACAGAGCAAGAUUCCAUCUCAAAAUAAAUAAAUAAAUUCACAGUGCAUUAAUACUAUAUCAAUAUCACAAACAUACCAUUUGGUAUAAAAAUAUAAUUGCUGAUUCAUCAUUUGCAGAUUUGUACUCUAUUACCACUCAUUUUUUAAAAUCUUUAAUAUUUCCAUUUUUAUAGUAACAAAAACCCAAACAGUAAUAUAAUUGGCCCCAAAUCUAUCCUUCCUGUUUCCUUUUAACAUUGUAAUUGGUUCUCGUUUUUUUUCUAAACUUUUAAAAAUUAAAAAGAAAUAAAAUCAUAAUUGGUACUCUGAAAUGAAUAUGCAAAACUAAAUAAUUUUUAGACUCCUAUAUAUUUGCUUUCUUGAUUUGGUAAAGUUCUUGUAACUAUUAAGGCCCCAGGAACAUUUUAUCUUCAGGAAAUCUUGUUAGCCACAGUUAAACCUCUCAAACUUUCUAGAUAAUAUUACUUUAGGAAGAUUUUCAGGUCACUCUUUUACUUCUCCCUAAUGCAUAUUCAUACAUGUGCACAGGCAGACUUUUAAGUGUUCUAUCACAUGAAAUUCUGAUUCCUUCCUUUCCAUUCCAAUUUAACACUGUAUAACUGUCUUGGCAGUGAUGUGUUAUUGUUUUAUUGUAGAGGUUUGUAUAAUAAAGGCCUGUACAACAUGUACCCUUUGAUUAUGCCCACAUCCACCUCCAUAGCAACAAAGACCCUUGUAAGUGACCUGAAAAGGAAAAGGCAACUGUGGUGGCCAGUCUCCCAGAGGACCCCAGUGAUCGUCACCUCCUGGUCUUUGGAGCAGUCUCCAAGUCCCUAUCCAUAACAUAUCAGGGUUGGUCUGUGUGACUGAAAGGAUAAGGCACAAGUAGUGAUAUGUCCCUUCCAAGAUUAGGUUAUAAAAGGCACUGCAGCUUUCAUCUUGGUAGUUUUUUCUCUCUCCGUACCACCCUCACCUUGGCCCUCGCCCUCCUGUCAUUCCACCCAAGGGGAAGCCAUCUGCCAUGUCAUGAGCAGCCUUGUGGAGAAUCCUCACAGCUAAAUUUUAUUUUAAGUAAAAUAAAAUUUAGUAAUUUCUAUUUUAAGAAGCGUGUGUGAAUACUCUCCCUUUCAUCUCUGUAUUACUCUAGCUACCUAUGUCUUUAAAAAAUAAAUAAAUAAAAAUAAAAAAUAAAAAACAGGGUCUCACACUGUUGUUCAGGCUGGAGUGCAGUGGUGCGAUCAUGGCUCACUGCAGCUGUGACUUCCCGGGCUCAAGUGAUCCUCCCACCUCAGCAUCCCAGGUAGCUGGGACUACAGGUGCGUGCCACCAUGCUCAGCUAAUUUUUGCAUUUUUUGUAGAGAUGGUGUCUCAUUAUGUUACCCAGGCUGGUCUUGAACUCCUGGGCUCAAGCGAUCCUGAAACCUUGGCCUCCCAGAGUGCUGGGAUUAUAGGUAUGAGCCACCACUAGGUCUACUUUAAAAGAAAUGCUUAAUGGAGUUUUUCAAGUAAAAAUGAAAGAAAGCAGCUGGGUGUGGUGGCUCAUGCCUGUAAUCCCAGCAUUUUGGGAGGCCAAGGAGGGUGGAUCACUUGAGGUCAGGAGGUCAAGUCCAGCCAGGCCAACAUGGCAAAAACCCACGCCUUCUAAAAAUGCAAAAAAUUAACCAGGCCUGCUCCUCUUAUCUAUACCCCCUACCCCUGCAGCUGUGCCGGGGGAAAGCUGGGCAGUUUCCCUCCUCCGAGCCCCUGUACAUACCAUGAAUUGUGGGACCUUCAGAGCUUUUCACUUUUCGGAAAAUAGCUCCUGCUGGGGCUACAAGAUGGAGUGUGAAGAGGGCCUUGGGCCACAGGGAGGCGCCUGUGGACUAAGGGGAGUUCAUGCACCCCUUCUUUCCCCAGAGGGGCUGGACUCAGGUGAGUAUGGGGGUGGGGGCUCCUGCACUUCGACACAGGCAGCGGAAGGGUUUUCUCCCCAUUCCCUCUGCACUCCCAACUUGAGCUAUACUUUUUAAGAAAGUGAUUCACCCUGCCUUUGCCCCCUUCCCCAGAACAGAACACGUUGAUCAUGGGCGAUAUUUUUCAUUGUGCCAAAAAGUUGCCAUGACCGUCAUUAAACCUGUUUAACACCAAAUAAUAAGGAAAAUAAAACAAAAAGUUCGGGCAUGGUGCAGAAACUCACUCCAAAUAAAUUACCUACCAAAAUAUAUAAUGGUGGAAAUAUUCCAAAAUUCCAUAUUUUGGGAUUUAUACACAAAAGAUAAACAAAUUAGAGGCCAAGAGGCUGCCGGAAGGGAAAAACGGGGCCUGGAAAGGCCGUUGUGAGGAAUGAGCUUGGCCUAAAGAGGCCACUGGCAGGCAGUAGCUGGACCUGCCGAAGUGGCCGAAAGGCAGGAGCUUUGGACGGGGGAGGCCGCAGUGAGGCGAGAGCUAGCUGGGCGUGGAGAGUCCACUGUGAGGCCAAGGCCAAGGCCAGGCCCGUGCAGGCCUUUGAGAGGCAGGAGGCCGGGCCUGCAAAGGCCGACUGGAGAUCAAGUUCUGCGCCUGAAG